UACGGGGGGGGGCAAGCGUUGUUCGGAAUUACUGGGCGUAAAGGGCUCGUAGGCGGCCAACUAAGUCGGACGUGAAAGCCCCAGGCUUAACCUGGGAACUGCGUCCGAUACUGGGAGGCUUGGAUUCGGGAGAGGGAUGUGGAAUUCCAGGUGUAGCGGUGAAAAUGCGUAGAUAUCUGGAGGAACACCGGUGGCGAAGGCGGCAUCCUGGACCGAGAUCGACGCUGAGGCGCGAAAAGCUAGGGGAGCAAACGGGG
rnacentral:rRNA from 1 species